UGGGCUUCUCAGAGAGGUUAGGCUUGGUCUGGGGAGGAGGAGGAGGAGGAGGAGGAGGAGGCUCUCUGAAGACCGGCGGCCCCUUGAGGUUCCCAGCCUCCAGAAUGGUCAGAAACAAACUAGUUCGCUCUUCCACGUAUGAGAAAUACUAGUACAGUGGACCCUCAAGUUACAACUGGCCUGACAUUCAAACAACUUGGGUUAAUUAGUAAUUUUGGAUCUUUCGUCUAGGCCUUUGAUCCAUUUUGUGGAUAUUUGCACCAGGAAGAGAGACUAGGAAGAAAUAUAUGCCCUUAAGGAUCAAUCAAAUAUUGAAUUUGAACCAGUAUCUCCAGAGAAGAGCUCAAAGGACAGCAGGAGACAGUCCCUACAAUGAAGCUGAUGAUGACACCAGGAACCAAAUAACUAUGCUCUUUGAGAAACCAGGAGACAAAAGAACCAGAAUAAAUCUCUUCAGACAUGUCAGCUAUUGCCAUUAUGUAGACAAGAGUCCAUUUAAAUAGUCAGCAUGCAAACAGCUUUGGCUCAUCCUAUUUUGCUACACUGAUACACUUAGAAAACGUUUUAAUAGCUGACAAUAGCCAACAAUCCGUAAGACAGAUAAGAUCUCACGUGCACUGUGAAUUGUAACUAUGUAUAGUAGAAUAUAUAACAACACAUACUUGCACUCAACUUCCUCCCACCAUUGUCUAUAAGAACUUUUGGACCAAGCUAUGUAGAAGAUUGGUAAUUUACAAAUCAUGUGUUUCCAACUAAACCAUAGUUGGAUAUCUCUGAAUUAAGAGGACAGAAUAUUAAAAGCUGCAUUGUGCUAUAUAGUCACAUAUAACAAUAAACAUUAGUCAUACCAAUUUGAGAGGGAGGUUUCUUUAACUUCCAAGAAACAGAGUUGGAAUAGUGCAAACUCAGGGGUAUGGCCACAACCCCCAAAUGCCACCAAACUGUGCUGGAGAACUUCUUACCAGGAAAUGAGUUCCUCUUGUUCCCUAAAAGCACAUUGCCAUGUCUAUGCCAAACUCAGCAUGUUUUUUCUUUUGAUCACUAUAGUAUAUUUUGUCACUUAUUCAUUCAAUAAAUGUCAAGCACCUACUUGUACCAAGAAAUAUGCUGAAAACUGGAGAUAGGGUGAAGAGAGAAUAGAAACACGUGUGCCUGCCAUGAUGCCUUUCUAGCAGACCUGAAACCUAUCAUCAGUGAGAGAGAAAAACUGACUGCCACUCCCAUCACCACAACACAAAACAAAGUGAAGACUUUGGCAAUGACCACACUUUUGCCAAUAUAGUAGGAACUCAUAAUAAUCCUGAAGGCUAUAGAAAAAAUCACUAUCUAAUUAAUGUUAAGAAGCUGGGAAAAUAGUAUUCUAGCCAUAUAAUAAUAGAAAUUAUUUCAUUAUAUUGCACUUCCUAUUGGCUUGCUUAUUAGCAUAAAAUUUGUACCAAUUAUAAAGCUUUGCAGACCUCUCAGAUGGAAUUUUGGUAGGAGUGUCAUUUUCCUAUUUUCCUUGUUAGUAUCUCAAAUUAUGAUUCAUAGAUUAAAAUUCAUAAGAGUAGUGGGCAAGAUGGCAUUGUUCAAUAAGAAUGUAUUUUAUCGUGGUCAGUAUGUUCCCCAAAUAAAUGCUGGGAGGGGUGAUGUUUCCACAUCUAGUCAAAUGUCAGAAGUCAUUUAAUUCUCCUGAAAAGACAACUAGAAAAAUCUGAUAAACUGUAAUUCUAGAGGACAAAGCAUUUCUUAGGUAAACUCAUAAAAGCCCAAGGGCAUAUAUUAGUUCUGAGAGUGGACUGAAGAUCAAAUUUAGCCCAGGCAAAAAUCUCUGUGGGGUGAGGGAGAAAAACACUUUCGAGGCCAUAAUGAACUGAGAUAGGGAAUUCUGUAUUUGAGGAACCUUUUCCCAAAGGACAUCUGCUGAGUUUUACAACUAUGUUAAUGGCCAGAGGGUUAGGAGGAAAAAGUAAGUUUCCAACAGUCUCACAGCAGAGGAAACAUGUACUGAAGAGGGAGCCUUCCCAUUCCCAUGCGAGUAUGCCCCUCAGGAUAGUUGUGUUGAAGUGCUUAGGGCUGGAGUCUGGAGCUCAGGCCUAGGGAAAUCAGGACAAAGUUGAAUCUUUCGAACAAUUUUAAGAAUAUAGAUACAGACAUCUGUAAGACAUUUCAUCAAAAGUCUUGGGGGUCCCAUGAGGAAAAAAGAAGUAAAC